ACGGGAGGCAGCAGUGAGGAAUAUUGGUCAAUGGCCGGAAGGCUGAACCAGCCAAGUCGCGUGAGGGAAUAAGGCCCUACGGGUCGUAAACCUCUUUUGUCAGGGAGCAAGGCCGCCCACGUGUGGACGGAAGGAGAGUACCUGGAGAAAAAGCAUCGGCUAACUCCGUGCCAGCAGCCGCGGUAAUACGGAGGAUGCGAGCGUUAUCCGGAUUUAUUGGGUUUAAAGGGUGCGUAGGCGGCCUGCCAAGUCAGCGGUAAAAUUGCGGGGCUCAACCCCGUACAGCCGUUGAAACUGCCGGGCUCGAGUGGGCGAGAAGUAUGCGGAAUGCGUGGUGUAGCGGUGAAAUGCAUAGAUAUCACGCAGAACCCCGAUUGCGAAGGCAGCAUACCGGCGCCCUACUGACGCUGAGGCACGAAAGUGCGGGGAUCAAACAGGAUUAGAUACCCUGGUAGUCCGCACAGUAAACGAUGAAUGCUAGC
rnacentral:rRNA from 1 species